AACGAACGCUGGCGGCAUGCCUAACACAUGCAAGUCGAACGAGACCUUCGGGUCUAGUGGCGCACGGGUGCGUAACGCGGGGGAACCGGCCCUUAGGUUCGGAAUAACUCCCCGAAAGGGGUGCUAAUACCGGAUAAUGUCUUCGGACCAAAGAUUUAUCGUCUUUGGAUGGGCCGGCGUUGGAUUAGCUAGUUGGUAGGGUAAAAGCCUACCAAGGCGACGAUCCAUAGCUGGUCUGAGAGGAUGAUCAGCCACACUGGGACUGAGACACGGCCCAGACUCCUACGGGAGGCAGCAGUGGGGAAUAUUGGACAAUGGGCGAAAGCCUGAUCCAGCAAUGCCGCGUGAGUGAUGAAGGCCUUAGGGUUGUAAAGCUCUUUUACCCGGGAUGAUAAUGACAGUACCGGGAGAAUAAGCUCCGGCUAACUCCGUG
rnacentral:rRNA from 1 species